rnacentral:rRNA from 1 species
AGCGAACGCUGGCGGCGUGCUUAACACAUGCAAGUCGAACGGAUCCGGGGGGCAACCCUCGGAUUAGUGGCGAACGGGUGAGUAACACGUGGGUAAUCUCCCCUCGAGUGAGGAAUAAGCUUGCGAAAGCGGGUCUAAUACCGCAUAACGCCCCGGGACGUCAGUCUUCGGGGUUAAAGCCGUAAGGCGCUUGGGGAUGAGCCUGCGUCCUAUUAGCUAGUUGGUAGGGUAAUGGCCUACCAAGGCUAUGAUGGGUAGCCGGCCUGAGAGGGUGAUCGGCCACACUGGAACUGAGACACGGUCCAGACUCCUACGGGAGGCAG